AGCGCGAGCUGCCGGCGGGCAGGAGCGGCCGCGCGGAGGAUAGACGCCGCUCGCCGGGGGAGCGGGCACCGGCCGCCGCCGCUACGCGCCUCCGGGGCGGCCUGGCCAGCGAACAGGCAGCGGAACAGCUCGAAAGACUGAUCUGGACCUACCUUUAAACAGAUAAACCUACACUGAGGAAAAUCCUGCAUACUUAUACCAAGUUUGCAUCAACUUCUAGGGAGCUUGUUUGAAAAGCCUCUCAGAAGGUACAUAUGGCAGAGAACAUGAGGUCUAUAUUCUGGUUGACUGGAAAACCCUACACAUCAAAAGCUGUCCAGAGAAGAAAGAUAAAUAAAAUAUAAAUAGACAUUUUACCUGAAGGUAACAGAAGGAAAAAAAAA